rnacentral:rRNA from 1 species
GCUCCGGGGGAUUAGUGGCGAACGGGUGAGUAACACGUGAGUAACCUGCCCUUGACUCUGGGAUAACCUCCGGAAACGGAAGCUAAUACCGGAUAUGACGUACGGAGGCAUCUCCUGUACGUGGAAAGAACUUCGGUCAAGGAUGGACUCGCGGCCUAUCAGGUAGUUGGUGAGGUAACGGCUCACCAAGCCUACGACGGGUAGCCGGCCUGAGAGGGUGACCGGCCACACUGGGACUGAGACACGGCCCAGACUCCUACGGGAGGCAGCAGUGGGGAAUAUUGCACAAUGGGCGCAAGCCUGAUGCAGCAACGCCGCGUGAGGGACGACGGCCUUCGGGUUGUAAACCUCUUUUAGUAGGGAAGAAGCGAAAGUGACGGUACCUGCAGAAAAAGCACCGGCUAACUACGUGCCAGCAGCCGCGGUAAUACGUAGGGUGCGAGCGUUGUCCGGAAUUAUUGGGCGUAAAGAGCUCGUAGGCGGUCUGUCGCGUCUGCUGUGAAAACCCGAGGCUCAACCUCGGGCCUGCAGUGGGUACGGGCAGACUAGAGU